rnacentral:rRNA from 1 species
AUCUACAGCCAUGCCACCCUGAACAAGCCUGAUCCCAUCUGAUCUCAGAAGCUAAGCAGGGUUGGGCCUGGUUAGUACUUGGAUGGGAGACCACCUGGGAAGACCAGGUGCUGUAGUCG